UCCAAGUGAAGUAGAGGACAGUGGCGGACGGGUGAGUAACGCGUGAGCAACCUGCCUAUCAGAGGGGGACAACAGCUGGAAACGGCUGCUAAUACCGCAUAACAUAACAGGGAGGCAUCUUUCUGUUAUCAAAGAUUUAUCGCUGAAAGAUGGCCUCGCGUCUGAUUAGGUAGUUGGUGAGGUAACGGCUCACCAAGCCGACGAUCAGUAGCCGGACUGAGAGGUUGAACGGCCACAUUGGAACUGAGAUACGGUCCAGACUCC
rnacentral:rRNA from 1 species